rnacentral:rRNA from 1 species
GAUGAACGCUGGCGGCGUGCCUAAUACAUGCAAGUCGAGCGAACGGACGAGAAGCUUGCUUCUUUGAUGUUAGCGGCGGACGGGUGAGUAACACGUGGAUAACCUACCUAUAAGACUGGGAUAAUUUCGGGAAACCGGAGCUAAUACCGGAUAAUCUUUUGAACCGCAUGGUUCAAAAGUGAAUGACGGUCUUGCUGUCACUUAUAGCUGGAUCCGCGCUGCAUUAGCUAGUUGGUAAGGUAACGGCUUAUCAAGGCAACGAUGCAUAGCCGACCUGAGAGGGUGAUCGGCCACACGGGAACUGAGACACGGUCCAGACUACUGCGAGAGGCAGCAGUAGGGAAUCUGCCGCAAUAGGCGAGAGCCUGACGGAGCAACGCCGCGUGAGUGAUGAAGGUCUUCGGAGCGUAAAACUCUGUUAUUAGGGAAGAACAGAUGUGUAAGUAACUGUGCACAGCUUGACGGUACCUAAUCAGAAAGCCACGGCUAACUACGUG